rnacentral:SRP_RNA from 1 species
GGGUAAGUCUUAUACGACCAGCUCCCUCGAACCUCCCCAGGGCAGGAAUGCAGCAAGGAUAAGUGGUCGUAGCGGUGCGAUAUAAGUAGCUUACCCAUU